rnacentral:rRNA from 1 species
AGUGGACGCUGGCGGUAGGCCUAACACAUGCAAGUCGAACGGCAGCACAGUAAGAGCUUGCUCUUACGGGUGGCGAGUGGCGGACGGGUGAGGAAUACAUCGGAAUCUACUUUUUCGUGGGGGAUAACGUAGGGAAACUUACGCUAAUACCGCAUACGACCUACGGGUGAAAGCAGGGGAUCUUCGGACCUUGCGCAAUUGAAUGAGCCGAUGUCGGAUUAGCUAGUUGGCGGGGUAAAGGCCCACCAAGGCGACGAUCCGUAGCUGGUCUGAGAGGAUGAUCAGCCACACUGGAACUGAGACACGGUCCAGACUCCUACGGGAGGCAGCAGUGGGGAAUAUUGGACAAUGGGCGCAAGCCUGAUCCAGCCAUACCGCGUGGGUGAAGAAGGCCUUCGGGUUGUAAAGCCCUUUUGUUGGGAAAGAAAAGCAGCAGGUUAAUACCCCGCUGUUCUGACGGUACCCAAAGAAUAAGCACCGGCUAACUUCGUG